AGCUGAGGGAGCCGGCUCCGGCCUUGGCCAGCCCAGAAAGGGCUGAAGGGCUCCUCAAGUGCCGCCAAAGUGGGAGCCCAGGCAGAGGAGGCGUCGAGAGCGAGUGAGGGCUGUGAGGACCGCCAGCACUCUGUCACCUCUCACUAUUACCAGUUCUGUUCCUUUGCUGCUUCUUCUGGUUGUCCAAUUCAACCAGCAUUGUUUUAUCUUUCUUUCUUGUCACAUAUAAUAUUUCAUAUCCUGUUUCUAAUCUGGAUUCGUCUUUCUCUCUACUUGGCCCUUGGGUUGCAGCCCCAUGUCUCUCCUGGCCGGAGGCACCAAGACCUGGUGUCUGUCCCAGGAAAGUUAACCAGCUGGUCCACUUGCCUAUUUACCACCUUGGAUUUUGAGGCCAGGUGACUGGUGAAGGAGCCAGGAUUGAUUUAAAGCAUAAGCUGAGUGAUAUCACUGCAACAAAUAGUUACUAAGUGACCCAUUUACAUGGUGGAGAAUGUUGAUUCUGUGAGAAGGUCAAAUCUAUCAGGUACCUCAUUAUCUCAUUGGCUACAACAACAUUGAUGCAUUUUUUGCGCAAAGAUGGAGGCCUCCCUUUGUCUUCGCCAAAGCCAGUAGGAAUGUAAACUACAUGAGAGCAGAAACCUUGCUUGUCUCCAUCACAGUGCCUGGAACAGUGCCUGGGAAGUGGUGGUGGGUGCAGCACAAUCAAUAUUUGUGGAAUGAAUUGUUAUCGUUCAGCCCAGCAUGAAUCACACAGCUCCACUCGGAACUGCAG
rnacentral:lncRNA from 1 species